AUACGGAGGAUCCGAGCGUUAUCCGGAUUUAUUGGGUUUAAAGGGUGCGCAGGCGGCCAUUUAAGUCAGCGGUUAAAUCGUGGGGCUCAACCCCAUUCUGCCGUUGAUACUGGGUGGCUUGAUUGCGGUCGAGGUUGGCGGAAUUCGUUGUGUAGCGGUGAAAUGCAUAGAUAUGACGAAGAACACCGAUUGCGUAGGCAGCUGACCAGAUCGCAAAUGACGCUCAUGCACGAAAGUGCGGGGAUCGAACAGGAUUAGAUACCCUGGUAGUCCGCACAGUAAACGAUGAAUACUUGUUUUCGGCGAUAUAAUGUCGGAGGCAAAGCGAAAGCGAUAAGUAUUCCACCUGGGGAGUACGCCGGCAACGGUGAAACUCAAAUGAAUUGACGGGG
rnacentral:rRNA from 1 species